rnacentral:rRNA from 1 species
ACCCGAGACUCAGUGAAAUUGAACUCGCUGUGAAGAUGCAGUGUACCCGCGGCAAGACGGAAAGACCCCGUGAACCUUUACUAUAGCUUGACACUGAACAUUGAGCCUUGAUGUGUAGGAUAGGUGGGAGGCUUAGAAGUGUGGACGCCAGUCUGCAUGGAGCCGACCUUGAAAUACCACCCUUUAAUGUUUGAUGUUCUAACGUGGACCCGUGAUCCGGGUUGCGGACAGUGUCUGGUGGGUAGUUUGACUGGGGCGGUCUCCUCCUAAAGAGUAACGGAGGAGCACGAAGGUUGGCUAAUCCUGGUCGGACAUCAGGAGGUUAGUGCAAUGGCAUAAGCCAGCUUGACUGCGAGCGUGACGGCGCGAGCAGGUGCGAAAGCAGGUCAUAGUGAUCCGGUGGUUCUGAAUGGAAGGGCCAUCGCUCAACGGAUAAAAGGUACUCCGGGGAUAACAGGCUGAUACCGCCCAAGAGUUCAUAUCGACGGCGGUGUUUGGCACCUCGAUGUCGGCUCAUCACAUCCUGGGGCUGAAGUAGGUCCCAAGGGUAUGGCUGUUCGCCAUUUAAAGUGGUACGCGAGCUGGGUUUAGAACGUCGUGAGACAGUUCGGUCCCUAUCUGCCGUGGGCGCUGGAGAACUGAGGGGGGCUGCUCCUAGUACGAGAGGACCGGAGUGGACGCAUCACUGGUGUUCGGGUUGUCAUGCCAAUGGCACUGCCCGGUAGCUAAAUGCGGAAGAGAUAAGUGCUGAAAGCAUCUAAGCACGAAACUUGCCCCGAGAUGAGUUCUCCCUGACUCCUUGAGAGUCCUGAAGGAACGUUGAAGACGACGACGUUGAUAGGCCGGGUGUGUAAGCGCAGCGAUGCGUUGAGCUAACCGGUACUAAUGAACCGUGAGGCUUAACCUU